rnacentral:rRNA from 1 species
UGGGGAAUUUUGGACAAUGGGGGAAACCCUGAUCCAGCCAUCCCGCGUGUGCGAUGAAGGCCUUCGGGUUGUAAAGCACUUUUGGCAGGAAAGAAACGUCGCGGGUUAAUACCCCGCGAAACUGACGGUACCUGCAGAAUAAGCACCGGCUAACUACGUGCCAGCAGCCGCGGUAAUACGUAGGGUGCAAGCGUUAAUCGGAAUUACUGGGCGUAAAGCGUGCGCAGGCGGUUCGGAAAGAAAGAUGUGAAAUCCCAGAGCUUAACUUUGGAACUGCAUUUUUAACUACCGGGCUAGAGUGUGUCAGAGGGAGGUGGAAUUCCGCGUGUAGCAGUGAAAUGCGUAGAUAUGCGGAGGAACACCGAUGGCGAAGGCAGCCUCCUGGGAUAACACUGACGCUCAUGCACGAAAGCGUGGGGAGCAAACAGGAUUAGAUACCCUGGUAGUCCACGCCCUAAAACGAUGUCAACUAGCUGUUGGGGCCUUCGGGCCUUGGUAGCGCAGCUAACGCGUGAAGUUGACCGCCUGGGGAGUACGGUCGCAAGAUU